GCAACAAAUGUUUUUCAAAGUGAACUGGGAUAAUCCAAUCUGAUCUUCACAUUUAUUAUUGUUGAAUUUAUUCUCGCAUUUUCUUCACUAAGCCUGAGGCAAUAGAAAUGACACAAAACUAUGGAAGUCAGGAAAAAAUAGGCACCAACAACUGGAAGGAAACGAUAAGGAAAAUAAAAAUGAAAAUAACUACAAAUCACUUCUCAUGGGAGUCACUUAC
rnacentral:lncRNA from 1 species